AGAGUUUGAUCAUGGCUCAGAUUGAACGCUGGCGGCAGGCCUAACACAUGCAAGUCGAACGGUAGCACAGAAGAGCUUGCUCUUUGGGUGACGAGUGGCGGACGGGUGAGUAAUGUCUGGGGAUCUGCCCGGCAGAGGGGGAUAACUACUGGAAACGGUAGCUAAUACCGCAUAACCUCGCAAGAGCAAAGAGGGGGACCUUCGGGCCUCUCGCUGUCGGAUGAACCCAGAUGGGAUUAGCUAGUAGGUGAGGUAACGGCUCACCCAGGCGACGAUCCCUAGCUGGUCUGAGAGGAUGACCAGCCACACUGGAACUGAGACACGGUCCAGACUCCUACGGGAGGCAGCAGUGGGGAAUAUUGCACAAUGGGCGCAAGCCUGAUGCAGCCAUGCCGCGUGUAUGAAGAAGGCCUUCGGGUUGUAAAGUACUUUCAGCGGGGAGGAAGGAUUGUGGGCGAAUACCCUGCGACAUUGACGUUACCCGCAGAAGAAGCACCGGCUAACUCCGUGCCAGCAGCCGCGGUAAUACGGAGGGUGCGAGCGUUAAUCGGAAUUACUGGGCGUAAAGCGCACGCAGGCGGUCUGUCAAGUCAGAUGUGAAAUCCCCGGGCUUAACCUGGGAACUGCAUUUGAAACUGGCAGGCUGGAGUCUUGUAGAGGGGGGUAGAAUUCCAGGUGUAGCGGUGAAAUGCGUAGAGAUCUGGAGGAAUACCGGUGGCGAAGGCGGCCCCCUGGACAAAGA
rnacentral:rRNA from 1 species